AUUUCAAAUUUGUAUCUUGUCAAGUUUUUGAGUUAUGGAGAUUUUGUCAAAUUUUGAGAAAAAAAAAAUUGUACUUUUCAAAAAAAAAAUUUUUUUACAAAAUUUUGUAAAUAUUUUGGAAAACGCUGAAAUAGGUGUCCAGUCAAAUUGUCCAAAGAAUAUUUGUACAAAAUUUCAAAUUUGUAUCUUGUCAAGUUUUUGAGUUAUGGAGAUUUUGUCAAAUUUUCAGAAAAAAAAAUUGUACUUUUCAAAAAAAAAUUUUUUUUACAAAAUUUUGUAAAUAUUUUGGAAAACGCUGAAAUAGGUGUCCAGUCAAAUUGUCCAAAGAAUAUUUGUACAAAAUUUCAAAUUUGUAUCUUGUCAAGUUUUUGAGUUAUGGAGAUUUUGUCAAAUUUUCAGAAAAAAAAAUUGUACUUUUCAAAAAAAAAUUUUUUUUACAAAAUUUUGUAAAUAUUUUGGAAAACGCUGAAAUAGGUGUCCAGUCAA